rnacentral:rRNA from 1 species
CUAAAUAGGAAAAGAUGUUUAGAUUAGUACGAAAGGACCAUCUAAGCUUUAUUAU